UACGUAGGUCCCGAGCGUUGUCCGGAUUUAUUGGGCGUAAAGCGAGCGCAGGUGGUUUAUUAAGUCGGGUGUAAAAGGCAGUGGCUCAACCAUUGUAUGCAUUGGAAACUGGUAGACUUGAGUGCAGGAGAGGAGAGUGGAAUUCCAUGUGUAGCGGUGAAAUGCGUAGAUAUAUGGAGGAACACCGGUGGCGAAAGCGGCUCUCUGGCCUGUAACUGACACUGAGGCUCGAAAGCGUGGGGAGCAAACAGG
rnacentral:rRNA from 1 species